GACUGGAUGGUAAAGUGUCUGCCUGCAGUGCAGGAGGCCCGGGUUCGAUCCCUGG
rnacentral:tRNA from 1 species